CGAAAAGGAAAUCCAAUUUCGGUAAGACUUGAUCUGAAUCGUAGUUCAGAUCCAAGUCGGUUCAGUGAGGGCGACCGCGAAAGUCACCGAAUGGGUUCGGUCCGUCUUUUCCUGAUCUUUGUUUGUCCCCCCAAAAAAGGCGUGAGAGGACGUUGCAGAUGUCCGGGAUGCUGUUUCCAGAUCCUGCCUUCUUGUCCUUUGCGCUCAAGUCUAUGGCCAGUACUGCCCGGGGCAAUAUUAGCAGUUUUCUGA
rnacentral:rRNA from 1 species